GUGUAGGAACAUGGAACAUUGAGACGUAUGUCAACCCAAUGAAUUGGAUAUUGAAGAAUGGCUGGAUAUAGAUGAACCAGCUGAUAUUUAUGUUCUUAGGUAAUUUUUUCACUCAGAUAAACCUUCAUUCUUUCAUGUGAGUUAAACAUGCUCUCGAAUUUAAAAGGGGAAAAACAAUAACGUAAACCUUUUAUAUAUAUUCUACUGAUAUUUGUGUCGUGCAAUUGUGAAUUAGUAAGCAUAUUUAAUACUAGAAUAGUUACUCUAGCCCUGUUCAAAAAUCUGAGACUUAAAUCACAUUGCAGUGAGUUAUAUUCAAAUCAGCACUAAAUUUUUUCUUGCGAUGUACUCAUAGCAGUAGCACUAAAUCUUUUAAGUGACUCAUUCCAUGACUUAAAUGCAUUUUUACUGAUUACUUCCCAUUUCUUGCUAGCUGUUUACGUGCAUCUGUUCGAUCUAUGGCUUCUCGGCGCUCUCCCAGGUAAUUUUCUCGUCUCUUCAUUCGAACUCAUAGCAGUAUCACACAAGUUUUUCUUGAUUAGUGGUAUACUCAGACCAGUGGUAUAUUUAGAACAAGUUUUUCCUGAUUAGU
rnacentral:lncRNA from 1 species